AAUAAUUUAAGAAAAUAUUCUGUUAAUUUUCAAAGUUAAAAGUGCUAAAAAGAUUU
rnacentral:tRNA from 1 species